rnacentral:rRNA from 1 species
UACGUAGGGGGCAAGCGUUAUCCGGAUUUACUGGGUGUAAAGGGGGCGCAGGCGGCAUGGCAAGUCAGAUGUGAAAUACCGGGGCUCAACCCCGGGACUGCAUUUGAAACUGUCAGGCUGGAGUACAGGAGAGGCAGGCGGAAUUCCUAGUGUAGCGGUGAAAUGCGUAGAUAUUAGGAGGAACACCAGUGGCGAAGGCGGCCUGCUGGACUGUAACUGACGCUGAGGCCCGAAAGCGUGGGGAGCAAAC